rnacentral:rRNA from 1 species
UACGUAUGGUGCAAGCGUUAUCCGGAUUUACUGGGUGUAAAGGGAGCGUAGACGGCAGUGCAAGUCUGGAGUGAAAGGCGGGGGCUCAACCCCCGGACUGCUCUGGAAACUGUACGGCUGGAGUGCAGGAGAGGUAAGUGGAAUUCCUAGUGUAGCGGUGAAAUGCGUAGAUAUUAGGAGGAACACCAGUGGCGAAGGCGGCUUACUGGACUGUAACUGACGUUGAGGCUCGAAAGCGUGGGGAGCAAACAGG